rnacentral:rRNA from 1 species
CCUACGGGAGGCAGCAGUGAGGAAUUUUCCGCAAUGGGCGAAAGCCUGACGGAGCAAUACCGCGUGAGGGAUGAAGGAUUUUGGUCUGUAAACCUCUUUUCUCAAGAAAGAAGUUCUGACGGUACUUGAGGAAUAAGCAUCGGCUAACUCCGUGCCAGCAGCCGCGGUAAUACGGGGGAUGCAAGCGUUAUCCGGAAUGAUUGGGCGUAAAGCGCCUGUAGGUUGUUUAUUAAGUCCGUUGUUAAAGCCUAGGGCUCAACCCUAGAAAAGCAAUGGAAACUAGUAGACUAGAGUAUGGCAGGGGUAGAGGGAAUUUCUAGUGUAGCGGUGAAAUGCGUAGAUAUUAGAAAGAACACCGGUGGCGAAAGCGCUCUACUGGACCAUUACUGACACUCAGAGGCGAAAGCUAGGGUAGCAAAAGGGAUUAGAUACCCCUGUAGUCCUAGCCGUAAACGAUGGAUACUAGAUGUUGUGNAUAUGUACAGUAUCGUAGUCUACGUACGUUAAGUAUCCGUCCGUCGGGUAGGUACGUCGUCGCGAGGUAGGAACGUACAAGUAGUAGUUAGACGGCGUGUAAGUACGUGUUCGACGGACGACGACGAGGGAGGUUAGG